GGUGGACCUGGUCGCGCUGUGCCGGGUGUGACACUACGGAGAGCAGAUUACAUUAUCAAAAGCACCAAGUUGAAACAUUUGCAAGGUGUGCAUCAUUUCACAAUUAUUGGCAAUGGUUCAAUGGUUUCAUCUGCUUUGAACGGUUUCUUCUCUAUCAUUAAGAGGUGAGGAAACUGAGCACUAAGACACUAAAUAACUUGCCCAGGGUCAUACGACAGACAUGAGAGGUUUAUAUCAGGCAGUCUCCACCCCUGUUCCGAAGUCAAGAGGCUGACUCGGGUUGCUACUUCUUGACAGACCGGACCCCAGAUCGCCGAAGACCAUUUGGACACACUUCUAUCAAAUCCUGGCGGUCUCCUUCUAACAGAACUUAUACUGAAUGAGAAGAUUAUAGAAUGAGAAGAUAAUAGAAUGAGAAGAUAUAUGUAAUGCAUAUAAUUGACUCUUCUCAAGCCAAGUGGCACUUUUGUUUCUUUAUGUGCAGUGAGUUACACAAGCUCUGGCACCUAUUAGGGACUUAUCCAUCUUAUCAGAGUGAAUUGAUUCAUCACUGAUUGAUAUUUUCUGCUGGGAGAAGCCUAUGAACCAGGAUGCUUAUGAAGAAUAUGAAUGCAAAACUAUGCUGGACAUUGUUUGGAUUUUUAUCUUAAGUCUCGGUCCAUUUAGAAUCAUAAGAGAAAUAAUGGAAGAACAAAAUUUUCUGUAUGCUGUCUACUGCCUGCCUUUCAGCUCCCUGCCAAAAAAUGUCAUAAGGGCAGCAUUUCCUAAGAAAGUUUGGCACUUAGGCCUCUAGUGUGGCUGGAAACCAUCAGUGGAAAAUAGUCUUUGAGAAAAAUGUCCUAUGCACUUGUGUAAAGACAUAAGUUUUAGUUUAGAGGAAAGGAUAGGAAGAAAAAAAAAUAAUGUGACACAUCUGAGAAUUUCUGGAUCACCUGAAUUCUGUUCCGAUGACAAAUUACUUCCGUGUAAAAGGAGAAGCCGAAAACUACAUCUGUUUGGUUGGAUUUACUUACAAAUUUAAAAUGAAAAAUAAACCAAUGGAAUAGUAACUUCCUCCAUCCUGCUUUCUCACUUUGCUCCCUGGCUAGGCUAGUAUGCACAAAAUUAGCAAAGAAACUCCUUCUGACUUAGACCACAGGGCUUGUUCAAACUCCCCUUGUAGUAGACUUUGUCGUUUGUUAGUUAUUAAAAUGAUCUAAAUUUAAAUAAAUCUAUAAUAAAUGA
rnacentral:lncRNA from 1 species